rnacentral:rRNA from 1 species
UNUGGGCCGUUACUGACGCUGAGGAGCGAAAGCGUGGGGAGCGAACAGGAUUAGAUACCCUGGUAGUCCACGCUGUAAACGUUGGGCACUAGGUGUGGGGGGCCUUUUCCGGGUUNUCCGCGCCGUAGCUAACGCAUUAAGUGCCCCGCCUGGGGAGUACGGCCGCAAGGCUAAAACUCAAAGGAAUUGACGGGGGCCCGCACAAGCGGCGGAGCAUGCGGAUUAAUUCGAUGCAACGCGAAGAACCUUACCAAGGCUUGACAUGGGCUGGAUUGCUUCGGAGACGGGGUUUCCCUUUUUGGGCUGGUUCACAGGUGGUGCAUGGUUGUCGUCAGCUCGUGUCGUGAGAUGUUGGGUUAAGUCCCGCAACGAGCGCAACCCUUGUCUCGUGAUGCCAGCACGUUGUGGUGGGGACUCGCGGGAGACUGCCGGGGUUAACUCGGAGGAAGGUGGGGAUGACGUCAAAUCAUCAUGCCCCUUAUGUCUUGGGCUUCACGCAUGCUACAAUGGCCGGUACAGUGGGUUGCGAUGCUGUGAGGCGGAGCGAAUCCCUGAAAGCCGGUCUCAGUUCGGAUCGGUGUCUGCAACUCGACACCGUGAAGUUGGAGUCGCUAGUAAUCGCAGAUCAGCAGCGCUGCGGUGAAUACGUUCUCGGGCCUUGUACACACCGCCCGUCACGUCAUGAAAGCUGGCAACACCCGAAGCCCGUGGCCUUAUGG